rnacentral:rRNA from 1 species
GAUCAUGGCUCAGGAUGAACGCAGCGGCAGGCCUAAUACAUGCAAGUCGGACGGUAAUGCCCCUCGGGGCAUGAGAGUGGCGGACGGGUGCGCAACGCGUAUGCAACCACCCCCGACGGGCGCACAGCCGGUGGGAACGCCGGGUAAUGCGCCAUGCGGCUCCGCGGGGGCAUCCCCGCGGGGUCAAAGCGGAGACGCGGUGGGGGACGGGCAUGCGUCCCAUUAGCUGGUAGGCGGGGCGACGGCCCACCUAGGCGACGAUGGGUAGGGGAUCUGAGAGGACGGUCCCCCACACUGGUACUGAGACACGGACCAGACUCCUGCGGGAGGCAGCAGUAAGGGAUAUUGGGCAAUGGGGGCAACCCUGACCCAGCCCAUGCCGCGUGAGGGAAGUAGGCCCUACGGGUCGUGAACCUCUUUUAUACGGGGACAAGGACGCGGUCGCGAACCGUGUUUGAGGGUACCGUAGGAAUAAGCGUCGGCUAACUCCGUGCCAGCCGCUGC